GAUGAACGCUAGCGGCAUGCUUAACACAUGCAAGUCGGACGGGAAGUGGUGUUUCCUGUGGCGGACGGGUGAGUAACGCGUAAGAACCUGCCCUUGGGAGGGGAACCACAACUGGAAACGGUUGCUAAUACCCCGUAGGCUGAGGAGCAAAAGGAGGAAUCCGCCCGAGGAGGGGCUCGCGUAUGAUUAGCUAGUUGGUGAGGCAAUAGCUUACCAAGGCGAUGAUCAGUAGCUGGUCCGAGAGGAUGAUCAGCCACACUGGGACGGAGACACGCAGCAGACUACUACGGGCAGCAGCAGUGGGGAAUUUUCCGCAAUGGGCGAAAGCCUGACGGAGCAAUGCGGCGUGGAGGUAGAAGGCCCACGGGUCAUGAACUUCUUUUCUCAGAGAAGAAGCAAUGACGGUAUCUGAGGAAUAAGCAUCGGCUAACUCUGUG
rnacentral:rRNA from 1 species